UACGUAGGGGGCAAGCGUUGUCCGGAUUUACUGGGCGUAAAGGGCGCGUAGGCGGCUCUGUGAGUCAGGCGUGAAAGUCCUGGGCUCAACCUGGGAACUGCGCUUGAUACGGCAGAGCUAGAGGAUGGAAGAGGCUCGCGGAAUUCCCAGUGUAGAGGUGAAAUUCGUAGAUAUUGGGAAGAACACCGGUGGCGAAGGCGGCGAGCUGGUCCAUUACUGACGCUGAGGCGCGACAGCGUGGGGAGCAAACAGG
rnacentral:rRNA from 1 species